rnacentral:lncRNA from 1 species
AAUAAUUAACUUAGACAUAUUGGUUCAGUUGGUUUUUUAUUUAUGUGGAUAAAUGUGAUUUUGUGAAUGUAACAAAGAACUUAUGGUUUUCUUAUGAGAUGAAAACGGUUUUCUACCCCUCGUGGUAGCGUGUUUUAAAGAAAAAAGGUUUCCGUGUGUGAAACGGUUUUAAAAAGGUUUUUCUUGGUUUUCAUAACUCUUAGUGUUUCAAAGUGAGUUUUCGAGUAGGAAAUAUUUUAAACUAAUAGACGUGAAUUUAUAAUAUCUGUGAUGGAAUGAAUGGUAAAUGUGAUGUGGUAUAUGUAUGUGGAUGUUCAUACUGUUGUGGUUGUAUCUUGUACUUGUGCGACGCCGUUCAAAUACAGGGGAGACUCAGUCCGUAUGAACAGUGAAUUUUCUGUAUUUGUGGCGGAUUUGACAUACUCUGGGGUCAAGGUUUUCAACAAAAAAAAUAUAUUUUGGGCACUUCCGCAUUGACUUUUUAAUCCAAAAAGGGA